UACGAAGGGGGCGAGCGUUGUUCGGAUUUACUGGGUGUAAAGGGUGCGCAGGCGGACUUAUAAGUCAGUGGUGAAAUCUCGGCGCUUAACGCCGAAACUGCCUUUGAUACUAUAAGUCUUGAGUUUGGUAGAGAUCCGUGGAAUUCCGAGUGUAGCAGUGAAAUGUGUAGAUAUUCGGAAGAACACCAGCGGCGAAGGCAGCGGAUUGGGCCAAUACUGACGCUCAGGCACGAAAGCAUGGGGAUCAAACAGG
rnacentral:rRNA from 1 species